rnacentral:rRNA from 1 species
GAUGAACGCUGGCGGCGUGCCUAAUACAUGCAAGUCGAGCGAACAGACGAGGAGCUUGCUCCUUUGACGUUAGCGGCGGACGGGUGAGUAACACGUGGGUAACCUACCUAUAAGACUGGGAUAACUUCGGGAAACCGGAGCUAAUACCGGAUAAUAUUUCGAACCGCAUGGUUCGAUAGUGAAAGAUGGCUUUGCUAUCACUUAUAGAUGGACCUGCGCCGUAUUAGCUAGUUGGUAAGGUAACGGCUUACCAAGGCGACGAUACGUAGCCGACUUGCGAGGGUGAUCGGCCACACUGGAACUGAGCCACGGUCCAGACUCCUACGGGAGGCAGCAGUAGGAAUCUUCCGCAAUGGGCGAAAGCCUGACGGAGCAACGCCGCGUGAGUGAUGAAGGUCUUCGGAUCGUAAAACUCUGUUAUUAGGGAAGAACAAAUGUGUAAGUAACUGUGCACAUCUUGACGGUACCUAAUCAGAAAGCCACGGCUAACUACGUGCCAGCAGCCGCCGUAA